GGACGCGACGGCGGGGGUACAAAGCCGGAAGCGGCUCCCGCGCGGGAGAGCGGCGGCUGCUCCAGCAUCCAGAGCAAGGGAGAGGCUAGAGCGGCGCGUGUCCCCCGCCGGGGCUCCGACAGCGCCCGGCCCGGGCUCGGCGCGACAGGCGGCUCCCCCCCCCGCCCACGGAACGGGUAAGCAGAGGGAGCCCAGACCCACUUCCUGAGCUCUGAGACUGUUCAAUCAAGUCUUUCAGGGAUUCCCCUGGAGGAAUUUCAUAAGCCAGGGGGGGAAAAAGUGACGUUGGGAAGAAAUGUGAAGCAGACAAAGUUUAAAUUCUUCCGACUUACCUGAAGUAACAGAAUAUGAUGAUAAGUACCAGGAGUAUACUGCAAACGGUCACUGAGAUCAGCAAGGCCUUAUGGUGAAUGUUUCCUUCAACAAAAUCUGGUUUAAAGAUAAAAAAAAAGAAGCUUUGUACAAUGGCUGUAUUUUUGUCUUAGGAGUCAACACUACUCUCUCACACCUGAAAUGUCUUUCACAUUCUGCCUUCCUGGAUUUAGUUUCACAUGUAAAAAGACAUACAAGAGUUUAUAAAUAUAUUAAGCAA